UACAGAGGGUGCGAGCGUUAAUCGGAAUUACUGGGCGUAAAGCGCGCGUAGGCGGCUUUUCAAGUCGAUUGUGAAAUCCCCGGGCUUAACCUGGGAACUGCACUUGUGACUGCACGGCUGGAGUACGGCAGAGGGGGAUGGAAUUCCGCGUGUAGCAGUGAAAUGCGUAGAUAUGCGGAGGAACACCGAUGGCGAAGGCAGUCCCCUGGGCCUGUACUGACGCUCAUGCACGAAAGCGUGGGGAGCAAACAGG
rnacentral:rRNA from 1 species